GAUGAACGCUGGCGGCGUGCCUAAUACAUGCAAGUCGAGCGAGCGGACGAGAAGCUUGCUCUUCUGAUGUUAGCGGCGGACGGGUGAGUAACACGUGGAUAACCUACCUAUAAGACUGGGAUAACUUCGGGAAACCGGAGCUAAUACCGGAUAAUAUUUUGAACCGCAUGGUUCAAAAGUGAAAGACGGUCUUGCUGUCACUUAUAGAUGGAUCCGCGCUGCAUUAGCUAGUUGGUAAGGUAACGGCUUACCAAGGCAACGAUGCAUAGCCGACCUGAGAGGGUGAUCGGCCACACUGGAACUGAGACACGGUCCAGACUCCUACGGGAGGCAGCAGUAGGGAAUCUUCCGCAAUGGGCGAAAGCCUGACGGAGCAACGCCGCGUGAGUGAUGAAGGUCUUCGGAUCGUAAAACUCUGUUAUUAGGGAAGAACAUAUGUGUAAGUAACUGUGCACAUCUUGACGGUACCUAAUCAGAAAGCCACGGCUAACUACGUG
rnacentral:rRNA from 1 species